UGGGAUGGAGGUGCUGGAGGCAUUCAGGGCAUAUGCAUAAAGGAUCUGGCAAUAAACAGAAAAUACAAGAGGUCUGUAAGCUUGAGUGCAAUAAAGCAGGAGUGUGAAUCCAAAAGAUGUGAUAGGCUUUGAGCAGAGUCCUAAAUCCCCCUGUUCUGCUGAAAAUGUGCAUCUGGUGGUGAUGAGGACACCAGUAGCCUCUCUGCAUUUGGCUACAUCCCAACAUGAUUGAUGCUGAUUCCAGUCACAUUCAGCAUUUUGCAGGAAGUUGGAAGGAUUUGAAACUCAUCCAGGGAUUUGAAACUUCAGCAGUUUCUCUUCCUCUGAAAUACUUGAACCAGGCAAAGGAAAUUUUCAGGCUGCAUUAUGACCUUAAUUCCUCCUUUUUGCCCAUUAUCUCCUCAUUAUUGACCUAUAAUAAAUAUGGAGUCCUUCAAGGACUUUUUUUCUCCCCAAAUCUCCUUAAGAAUGAAUGCUAGCAAUGUUGAAUCAAGGGCAUGGUGUCAAAUGGAAUAGUUUCAGGAUAAGCAGAGUUUUCUUUGAAGCUUGUUUAGAAGGGUGCAAUUUAAAAAAAAAAAAAAAAAGGAAAAGCUGGAGUUUAUAUCUAAGAGUGAGCUGCAAGUUCCCAUCAGUUAUUAACUCUUCUUUUCCCCCCUAUGUAUCUUAUAGCAAAGCUAACCAUAACAGUAUUGUAUAAUUUCCUGUGUAAUAUGUAGUGUGAUAAAUUAGACUACACAAGUGGCUAUGUAUGACCAGCAGCAGUAAAGAAGUUAUAUAAAUAAACCAAAGUUAAUUAAAAUAUUAGAAAAUAUAAAUAAUGUGAGGUUAGUGAACAUUGUUUCAUUUUAAAUUAAUAAAUAUGCAAAGGUAAUGUUUAUAAUUAAAGCUAUAAUUUAUCUUCAUGCUCUGACUGUUUAAUAACAGUGGAAACAUAAUGUUACAUGCAGAAAUGUAGUAAUAGAUUUGUUUAGCACUGACAUUAUAAACAAAUGUCUCAGUCUAUUUAUUCUAAGUUAUGAUACAGAUUCUUUUCACAUGCAUCUGAUGGCCUUUAAACCAUUUAAAAUGAACCACAUUAAUGUAAUCUAAUCUUGAUACUGAACAUAACAUUUCAGUUUGAAUUAUCCAGAAUCCAUGAUCCAUUUUAUUACUCACAAAGCACUUUAUACACUUAUGAUAAUGGCAAACCUUGCUCUGUUAUUUAAAUUCCAUUUCAGAUGGGAUUUUUUUUAUUAUUAUUUUAUUUUUUAAAACAUUUUUGGUAGUAAAAUACAAAUAAAGAAAAGUCAAUGCUCAGUAAGCCCUUUAACAAAGCAAACAAUUCAGCUUUUUAUGACAUUAGCAAAUAAUAAAGAAAAGAUCUGACAUUUACACUUGAUGAAAUUUUAUGCUAUAACAGAGAUGAAGAAAAUGGAAUGGAAAUCACACAUGAUAAAACCUGUCCAUGAAAUUCAGAUGGGUCUUAAAAACAACCACUGCUAAAUAUUUUGGGAGCUUUCUUACUGUACUGAGAUCCAUAUUAUUUUACUGUCUUUGAAAGUCAUUUCAACACAUGCAAAUUCUAUUUAUUUGGAAUGACUCUGGUCAAAUAAUAAUGAGGGUCUUCAGGGAUUUUAUUCCUAUAAGGACCAGGGAAAGGUAACAUGAUAUAGAAUUAGUCAAAAGAGGUAUGUAGGAAUUAGAAUUGAUUUGCUCUCAUAGAGAGCAAAGAUCCAGGAAUUGGAUUUUUCUGACAACUUCUGUAAAUGUUCUUGGCAUUUGCAUUUAAUGAACUGGAUUUUGAAUUCAAAGUAUCUUAUAUUUAUAGGUGGUCUAGAUUUUCAACUUAUGUGCCUGUGGCUGUAUUUUCUGGUGUUGGAAUGUGGCACAAGGAGCAGUGAUGCAUAUUAAUUUAUUACAGAGAAACUUACUUAUAGUUAAUCCACACUUUUCCAUAGAUGAGAUAUUUUUGUGCAUUAAAGUAGCACACACAAGACCUAAACCUGAGGUGAGCAGCUCUCACCUCCCUUUAAAUAAUAAACUAAAUUGAUUAAACACUAGGUUAAUUUUGCUAGACUCUGAAAGCAGAGUUCAGACUGGCUUUCCUCAUUUAUUUUGUUAGCAACAUGAUGACACAGAGCUGCAGAGUCUCAUAUCCAGUGCAUCCUCAAAGCCACGCCCUGAAGAUUAAAGGAAGAUGGCUCUGUGGUGUGGUAUCAUGAAUCAACUUAUCUGAUAAAUUCACUGGUCUAAAAUUAAAAAAAAAAUAAAAAGACAAUAAAAUAUAUUCAGUGUCUGAAUAUUAAAUAAUAGAAAAGAACAUUCUGGAUUUUAUGGGGUUUCUUUACUUCUGAUGUGUCACAGAAAUAAGCUCUGCAGAAAUUGUUUGCAUAAGGUCAUUAUUAAUAAAUUUCCAUUUUUAAAAAAAAAUUUAGAAUUAUGUCAUUCAAUCCUAUGGGAAAGUUUAUCUUUUGAAAACUUCACCUUCAGUGUCAUAUCCAGCAGAAUUUAAUCCUUUAUAAAAGUGAUGCCUGAAUAUUUCUUUUCUCUUUGUAUCUGCAUGUCAGCAAGGGAUUUCAAUGAAGGCAUAAAAGACUGAAAUACAGCUGAAGUUAUAGAGGGAAAAAAGAGCUCCUCAUCACAGAGCUAAAAUUACUGUAAAAGUGUUUCCCUAUAGCAGAAAAGUAAGAAAUGAACAAAACAUCCAAUGUAGU